AGGUCAUUUCAAAGAAAGCUUAUGGGAACAAAACCGGGAACUCUUAAUGCUGUGACCUAAGAUUAAAAUUCUCCAUGUGAUGUAGUAUUCCCUCAAUAGUGCUAUGUUUUCCUGAGGUGAUAUAAGA